AAGCCCCGGACUAAGUUGGUGUCA
rnacentral:siRNA from 1 species